rnacentral:lncRNA from 1 species
GCCUCGUCCGUCCGGCCGACUGUUGCGGCCCGGCCGGCAGGGGCCGCUGUCUCCCGGCCCGCCUUGCCCUGUGCUCCCCUCCAUCUCCACUGAGACCUGCACACUGUGUGCUUGCUACCACAUGGUGGGAAAGGAGGGAAGGAGGGGAGUGCCUACCCACUCUCAAUGAAGUGGUGUUUUAGCUAAAAAUCGCUGUACAGAGCCACGCCUGGUGCCGCACGCCUGUACUCCCAGCACCCCAGAGGCUGAGGCAGGAGGAUUGCAGGAAAUUGGAGGCCAGCCUGGGCUACAUAAAUUCUUUCUGCUGGUCAGAAAUAGGAAAAUUUAAUUUCCCACGAAGCGUCAGCAUCAGCGGAGCCGUCGGUACCACGCCGUGCCGUUCCGGCCUGCGCCUCCUGGGCCUCUCGCUGGAAUCUCCCUAGAAGAUGCUCGAGGCUUCUGGUGCCGAGUGUGCUGCGGGCUGCUCGGGAGGAUGCACAGCGCCUCCGCCUCCCGCGCGUGUUCCGGCCGGGAGACAGCAUGUACUGGGAUCCCUGAGCUGCUGCCCGGCCGCGCCUGGCCCGGGGCCCUGAAUGCCGGCCAAGCCCCAGCGGACAGCAGCAGGGUGGGGAGGGAGCCCGAUCGUCCCCAUAAAUCUCAGCCACAGCCCAGCAGACGGCCCGGGCGUUUGCGGGCAGGGGAGGAAGGAGGAGUGCCGGGGCGGAAGUGGAAUUCGCAGAUUCGCAGAUUUGUUUCAGGCAGCCAAAGAAAAAGUGAUUUCAGAUGCUCCGCACUAGGAGCGGAGGCGCUUGCCAGCGGCGGAGGGGGUGGGUAUGGGGAUUCCCGGACAGGCAGGCAGGGCCGGGGCCCAGGCAGGAGGGGACUGAGCUAGGGACCCUAGCACCUUUGGAUUUUGACAGAGUAUCACUGAGUCGUUAAGUUGCCCAGGCUGGGCUUGAACUUGUGAUCCUCCUGCCUCAGCCUGCCAGAGUGCUGGGAUCACAGGGGUGCGCCCCAUGGCCAGCUAGAGAUGAAAUUCUUAUCCAGAGGUUUAAAUUAAUAUUUACAUGCCUUGAUUAAACAUCUUGAUCCUUAAGUAAGAAGCUGCAUGGGUGAAAGGCACGCCCUGGACACAGCCGUGGGACCCGAGGUGACUGAGGCAGUGUUCGAAGGGGCAGUGCCCUGGGCCAUGGGGCUGGGCAGAGGGGCAUGGUCACCAAUGCUGGCGUUUGAAUUUUCAGAUGAGAAUACAAGUGCCCCUCCAUUUAUGACAGGAUGUGUCCUGAUAAACCCACUGUGUCCUGGACCUAUUGCAAGCCAAAAAACACAUCCUAGCCAGGGGAGGUGGCCCGCAGUUCCAGCACUCGGAGGGUGAGGCAGGAGGAUCACUGAGUGUUUGAGACACUGUCUCCAAAAGAAAAGCUGAGGACUACAAUUCAUUAUGAGAAUGAGGUGUCCUGAGGUGACUCUGGGGAGGGGGCAGGCUGUGUCUCGUGCCUAGCACACCUGGCAUUUCCCGGGCACUGACCUCACGGGGUGGUCGAGCUCUUUAGAAGUUUCUUUGUAAUUACGUUUAUCCAGCAGCAGGGUUUCAUUUGGUGAAGAAUAAAUCAUUUGCAGAUUUGACCUUUAUGCUUUAAAAAAUUUUUGUUGUUGUUUUUUUGCUGGUGGUACUGGG